rnacentral:tRNA from 1 species
GGAAGAAUAGUUCAAUCGGGAGAACUUUGGUCUCCAAAACCAAGGGUUGUGGGUUCAAAUCCCGCUUCUUUCG